rnacentral:ncRNA from 1 species
CGUUACUACUAGGGGUGCUGAAAAGGCUGAGAAAGACGAUUGUCUUAACCCUUAAACCUGAUCUAGAUAAUUCUAGCGUAGGGAAGUGGUGCUUGGUGUCU